AGAUCUAUAGCGAAAAACCUUACCGCAGAGGAAGAAUUGGUUUUUGCUGCCUUUAAGUACCUGGGGGUGUGCCGAUAAUAAAAGGGGGUUAAGUAGUGGGGGUAGGAGGUGGGGGGGCAGCUGGGGCUGGUAACGCAGCUGGGCAGAUGCCAAAAAAAGCAGAACAAAACACGUUUUCGUUUUGUCUGCACCAGCCUGCGACAGAGAGCGAGAGAUGCACAGUGAAAAAGCUGCUGUGCUCGGAAACGGGCCUACAGCUACUUUGGAAGCCUCGGCAAUAAUUCUGUCCCUUCCUCGCCUUCACCCUGCCCACUCUGGCUCGACUGCCAAGUCGGAGAGUUGGCACGGCUUCCCAGGCAGCGCGGAACAAAGCCGUCACCCAUCCCUGAACAGGCGCUGACGGCAGGCUAAGUGACAGGCGCAUCUUCUGCAUGUUAAUCCAAGGGGUGAGAAGGAGAGAGCAAAAUCCACCGGCUCCCCUGCCACCGGCCACUCCUUUCCAACCCAAGCCCCGGUGGGCCCCGUGCACAGUUCGGAAGGCAGGAGCCCUGGAGAAACAGAGCUGGCCACACCGGCAAGUCAAGCAAACAAACAAGCGCAGGAUUUAAAUACAAACCACCACCCGACCCAGCAGCACCCUGGCAAACAAGGCCGCUCGGCAUCUGCUGUACCUGUUCCCGCUGCCUUCAUCUCGCCUUGGAACCGUGACAAGAGAGAAGCGUCGCCUCUGGUGGGCUCUCACAGCCUCGGGUCUGCAACCCUGUGCAGGAAGUUGGCACCGAUCCCAGCUAAAGGCUUUUGAUAACAGCUGAGCAGCAACAGAGAAUGGGCGAGACUCACCCUUCAGAUUCCAGGUAAAAGGUGAGAGAAGAGAGUCACUAUUCAAACACUGGCUGCUCAUUUGCCCACUAGGUGGGAGAGGACAAACUCUGAGACAUGUUCUCAUAGGUGCCUAUUCUCUGUACUGAUUCUCUGGGGAACUGGGUAUCUUUAUGUAGCUAUAGCAUCACCUCCAAUCCCCACUUUGCAGCUGGCUCUGCCCUCUCCAGAAUGGACUGACACCUAAAUUCUUCCAGUGUUUGGGAUUCCAAGCCCAGAUCACCAGAGGUAUUUUAGACUCCUAAAUUUGAUUUCAGGUGUAUCGGAUUCAUUUUGCUCAACCUGUACUCGGCCUAGUCAGUUUCCUAUGUGGCAAAGUUGGCCCAGAAUCAAAGAAAUGCAGGGCCUGGAAGGGACCUGGAGAGGUCAUCUAGUCCACCUCCCUGCACUGAAAGCAAGACCAUGUAUACCUAGACCACCCCCAUCGGUCGCUGAAAGGCUUAACAGAAGGAAUCUGAAUUUCCAGCAGUCACUCCCCUUUGGAAUAACACUGACUGACCUUAAAUAAGGAAGCUUCAGAUGACUGGAAAGCUGAUAGAGCUGGGGUUUACUAAUAAAUGAAUGCACCACAUUAAAGACAACGAUGAAACUC